rnacentral:tRNA from 1 species
UGAGCCAUUAGCUCAGCUGGUAGAGCAUCUGACUUUUAAUCAGAGGGUCAGAGGUUCGAAUCCUUUAUGGCUCAU